rnacentral:rRNA from 1 species
UACGGAGGGUGCAAGCGUUAUUCGGAAUUACUGGGCGUAAAGCGCGUGCAGGCGGGUUGAAAAGUCUGAUGUGAAAGCCCGGGGCUUAACCUCGGAAGAGCAUUGGAAACUAUCAGUCUUGAGUUCUGGAGAGGAAGGGGGAAUUCCCGGUGUAGAGGUGAAAUUCGUAGAGAUCGGGAGGAAUACCAGUGGCGAAGGCGCCCUUCUGGACAGUGACUGACGCUGAGACGCGAAAGCGUGGGGAGCAAACAGG